GUCCUGGCCCUAAACGAUGAAUGCUUGGUGUGGCGGGUAUCGAUCCCUGCCUUGCCGAAGCUAACGCAUUAAGCAUUCCGCCUGGGGAGUACGGUCGCAAUGCUGAAACUCAAAGGAAUUGACGGGGGCCCGCACAAGCGGUGGAGCAUGUGGUUCAAUUCGACGCAACGCGAAGAACCUUACCCAGGCUUGAACUGCGAGUGACCAACUCCGAAAGGGGUCUUCCGCAAGGACACUCGUAGAGGUGCUGCAUGGCUGUCGU
rnacentral:rRNA from 1 species